ACUCAAAUGAAUAGACGGGGGCUCACACAAGCGGUGGAGCAUGUGGCUUAAUUCGAGGCUACGCGAAGAACCUUAUCCUGGGCUUGACAUAUGCGAAAGCGUUGGGGGGUAGCCUGCUGGAAACAGCAGGUGAAGGUAUCCAAUCCUGAACCCAAUACAGGUGCUGCAUGGCUGUCGUCAGCUCGUGUCGUGAGAUGUCGGGUUAAGUCCCAUAACGAGCGAAACCCUUGUCUCUAGUUGCAACCGCAAGGGCACUCUAGAGAGACUGCCGGUGUUAAACCGGAGGAAGGUGGGGAUGACGUCAAGUCCUCAUGGCCUUUAUGCCCAGGGCUGCACACGUGCUACAAUGGCGUACACAAAGGGAUGCAAUACCGCGAGGUCAAGCUAAUCCCAAAAAAUACGCCUCAGUUCAGAUUGAAGGCUGCAACUCGCCUUCAUGAAGUUGGAAUCGCUAGUAAUCGCAGGUCAGCAACACUGCGGUGAAUGUGUUCCUGAGCCUUGCACACACCGCCCGU
rnacentral:rRNA from 1 species